rnacentral:lncRNA from 1 species
UGUUUGUAAAUAAGCCGUUUCACUUUUUAUUUAGAAAAGCGAAAGGACGAAGGCCUAAGGUUAUGUGGCCAAUUAGUUUUCUUUGCUUCCGUUGUUCUGUUCCAAAUACUACUAUUUUCUAAUCACAGCCAUCUCGUCUGCUGCACAUAAUUGAGUUUUAUAUAUGCAAAACUAAAGAGAUAAAAUUGCUGCACCUUGGUCUGCACAAUAUUUAUGUUAGAUCUUUUCCGCAUGCAACCGCAAGAAUCUGAACUAUAUGUUAAUUAAGUGGUGUCCAAUGAUAUAUGUUAACAGACCAGCGUCUCUCUCC